rnacentral:lncRNA from 1 species
ACUGACUGAAGAAUGUGGUGAGCAGAAUCUGCUGGUUUAACAUCAUUCCCCGAACUAAUGCAGCACAGAUUGGAGUUUCUGGAACAAAGGCGCUGUUAUAGAGGCAGCUUGCACCCUGAGCAACAGCAGAGUGGCCCCGCCAAGCUCUUUCCCCAGGAACCACGGUCAGCAUCUCAGCAUCCAGCCACCAUAGCUUGGAGCCCUGUCCGUGAGCAUUUGCGCUUUCACUCUGUUUUGUGCAUCCGUUAACAAGAUGUGGCCUGAGGUCAUUGCUUCUUUGCUUUACACCAUUUCAGUUCAUAGGAAGCCUCUGCUUGCAUAUAGCCAGGGAGACCUGUAAUUUUGCUGUCUAUAAUCUAAACAAACCAAAUAUAAUUCUUGUUCUUUAGGAGUUUGUCAUAUAUAUCUUUACAGAGAGAUUAUUAAAUCAGUCAAUUAAUCAGUACCUAAGCAUCAGGUAUAUGAGAUCCUGAUCUUUCAUUUUUUUUAAGAUGGUUGUCCCUCAAGGGGAUGGUUGUUUUCAAGGUUUGAAUAAUCUUUGAGCUCUCCACUGAACAGGAGAGACCAUUAUAGAGUCCAGAGAAGUUCUUGGAGCCACUUCUGUCUGUGUGAUACCUUUAUUGUGCCAUCCUAGCUCUGUACUUCUGCUUUGCUGUCUGUGCAAUGGCUGUGGAAACAUUCUCCUGUUUUUCUAAAAUAAUAAUUUAAUGAAGGAAAUUGGUGUUAUAAAUUUAUAUGCAUAGGAAGCAAACUGCAUUCUUAAUGCCAUUAUAAUGCAUGUGGUAGUGCUUUUUUUUUUCUGGUUCUCCAGUAGGACUAUUAAUAUUUUUACGAGUCAUGAAUGCUUAAAUACACUUAUCUAUUGGCUUAGUUUUGGUACUUGUGUUUAAUCUUUGCCUUAGCAUCUAUCACCACUGGCCCUCUGAAGGUUAAAUAAUUUGUCCAUAAUUAUAAAGCAACUGGACAUCACUGGAAGGCCGUUGAAUUGUUGAAUUACAUUUUCUCUAUUAGCUUCAAAUGACUUGCAAAGACAACUUAAUACAUACAUUAUGUGAUAAAAUGGCUAAAAAAAUACGUAAGUAUUUGACUUAGUAAGUCACUUAAAUACAAGAAAGAAAUGUUAUAAAUAUAUAAAAAUGGACUCUGUAUCUCAGAGCUAUUGUGUUAACUGUGUGAAGUAAUGCACUUUAUGAAACUAUUUAAAUUGCAUAAAAUUUUUAUGACUUACAGGUAAAUUUGUCAGCAUCUAAUUGAGUAAGAGAUUCUUGAAAGCUUUCACUGCAAUUGUUAAUUCAGCAUCAUUGUUCUCUCAGGCUGUUACGUGACCCAACAGGCUGGGAGAACAAUAUUGCUGAAUAUAAUUGGCAUAUGUCAGCAAAAUAUAAUUAGUAACAAGCUUCUUUCUGAAAUGCUCUUUUUGUUGGUUUAAAAAAGUUGAUUUCCUCUUGAAUUAAAUUACAGCUUGGACCUCUCUCUCGUUUGAUUUUGAUAGAUCUUUAAAAAAGCACAAAUAAAUUUUGAUUCAAGAAGUAUGAAUUUGAUUUCCUGGGCCGUGCACACACUGUGAAGGCUUGCCUUUCCUUCAGUGGGUUUUCAGUUUAAUUUUGGGUGUGAGCGCUUUGUAUAGGAAGUAUGGGACAGUGUAUUCUUGAAGGUUAUCAUGAAUGCCCAUCCCGUCAAUUUCCGUUCCAGCCUUGCCUCCCUCCUGCCGCCCCCCCACUUGGAGAUUUGGAAUAAGUGCAAUAACAGGUUAUUUCUCAGGUUAUUGUGGGUGGUAGUUACUGACACCAAAGAUUCAGACUAAAGACAGUGUUUGAAUCGGUUAUCACUGCAUCUCUGUACAUUUAACUCCAGCCAUAUCAUGGCCAAGGUUGGUAGUGGGGGGGAGGGGGAGUGAGUUACAAUUGUCUUUCCUUUAACAGUAUAAAAAAGAAGAUGGAAAUCUUUCGCUCUACAGCAUUUUUUAUUCCUAUAAUACAUCAUUUUUUUUUAAUGGGAACAGAAACAUAUUUGCCAAAUUGUUCUUUCUGUGAGAAAAAGAACUUUUCACAAUUUCUUCAGAACUCGAGGUUGCAACAAAACAGACUUUUAAUGAAAGGUUGCUUUAGAAUCACAUCUGGAAAUGUGGUCAUUUCACCUAAGCAUGUUGUGUCUUUGUAGUUAUACCCAACCAUCUGAGCAAAGGUCCAACCUGACCCAGCCCACAGCAUCAGUGGGAUGAACCUGGAGGAGUAAGGAAAAUGAGGGGACCAGGGCUUAGCCAUUCACACUGGCCUGCACCCAUGCUGGUGCCCUGCGAGGGCAACACACCAGAGAGAUCAGAGCUCUUGGUCAUCCUCAUUGCCAAGGUCUUUCACAUCUUUAACCUAAUCCAAUGUCAUACUCUGAUCCUCCCUCAGUUGCUCUCUCACCCUGGAUUGGAGGCUCCUGGAUACCAUUCCUGUCUUUGAAGCAGACAGCUCCUUUUCUCCCUGGUCCUCUGUUUUGGCCCCAGGCCCUGUGUUCCUGGGAGCCUGUCUUUCAUUCUUCCGUGCUCCACACAAACCCCGACCGCCUGGCAUUUAUGUUGUAGUGUUAUAGAUCUCACCAUCCUUUAUGCACAGGGAUCAUUCUAAACCCAGAAAAGCUCUGCAUGUAAAAUAAAUUUGGGGCAUGGAGGUGACAAGGUAGGAAAUCUGUCUGUCUCUUUCCAUGCACAUAAUCCAUUUCAAGGCUGAUGGGCAACUACAUUCGAUUCAGAUUCUUGGCCCUUUUAAAGUUAUUCAGUGGAAUACAACCUGUUAGGCAGAAUUAGUUCAGCUUAGAUAAAGGCCUGGAAAGCCAUGAAAAUAAUCAUAUUUAUAGACGUAUCAUGGUGAUCCUUUUGCAACAUAUACAAAUAUCAGAUCACUAUGUAGUACACCUGAAACUGAAAUGACAUUGGAUGUUAUAUUAGCAAAAUUUAAAAAAAAUUUAAAAAUCACAGUUGUUCAGAGGAGACUUAGAGGCAAAGGCUACCAACAAAUUCUGUUUUUUCUUGGAUACUUACCCAUAAGAAAUAGUAUAGACAGAGGCCAGAUCAGCUCAUCACAAAUAAGCUGGCUGUCACAGAGGGCUGGAAUGUAGUGGCAAGCCCUGGGUAGGACAAGUGGUAAUGAAGGCUAGGCCAUGAGAAAGUUUGAUAGGUGUCAACCAAACUUGCAAAACAGAUGAAUCAGAAGGAUGACCAUUUGGUAUUACCAAAAAAUUAUAUGCUUUGUUUUGAGGGUUUUCAGCAUUUUCAAUUGAAAAAAAAAUAUUAGUUCUUCCUGUUCAUGAUCGUAUGAUGUAAAAUUCUUCAGGGUAGUAGAAUCUAAGUCAUCUUUCAGGGCACAGGUUGAUAGAAUGGGAAGAGAGCUGAAUUGCAGGCAAGAGGGAUGAUGCCAGAGCAGAGCAUGAAAUCCUAACAGGACUUGGGUGCUCAUCUGUAAGAGAGCAGUGAUGUCAAGGUGGCUUCAGCAUCACGAGGAGUCAAUGGUGGACAUUUCCUUCAGGAAUCAGAGAACCUUCAUGGUGAGCUGGGCACAGAGGUUGAAUAAGAGUUCACUAAGACCGAAGAGCAGUAUCUAGACUUGUGAACAUUCCUGGUGAGGGUGGUAUGACUGAACUGUAAACCCAUCAUCUUGUGCUAAACAUGGAAAAGAGAGAAGCCCAAGCUCCAAAUCUUAGCUGUGUUAUCCACAUAAUCAAUAAAAUUGCACCUAUAAUUCUAAAGAGUUGCUGUUUUGCAUCCUUUAUCUUUGGGCUGUGGAACUUUGGAAACGUGACUAAAACAGAGAUAAAACAUAAUCUCAUAAUUUUUAAAAAAGCUUUUUUAGGGAGUUCCCAUUGUGGCUCAGUGGAAACAAAUCUGACUAGUAUCCAUGAGGACGGUUUCGAUCCCUGGCCUUGAUCAGUAGUGGGCUAAGGAUCUGGCGUUCCAUGAACUAUGGUGUAGACUGCAGAUGCAGCUUGGAUCCAGCAUUGCUGUGGCUGUGGCAUAGGCUGACGGCUAUAGCUCUGAUUCGACCUCUAGCCUGGGAACCCCCCUAUGCCAUGGGUGCAGCCCUAAAAAGAAAAAAAAAAAAAGUUUUUUUAGAGAAAUGAAUUGACUUUGAAAUAACAAACCAAAGUAAGCUUUCACAGUUGGGAAACAGAUUUGGGUUGAGAACAAAGAUCUCAGAGGGAAGGCUCAUCACACUCCACUCUAAGCAAAGACUUAUUUGGGGCACUUCACAUAAACGGAGGAGGGUGGAGGAAAUUAAUUGAUUGCUAAAAAUUUAUGAGACUAAGUCCCUACCUAUGAAAGGAAAAUCAGAGAGUGGACAGAGGGGUCUACCAAAAGAAAACCAAACCUUUUUGCAUUGCAGAAGGUGUCCCUUUGAACAAAAUGGAAGAUUUUACCUAAGAAAAUACAGAAUUAUUAAAUGUUCUUAAAAGUGUAUAUGGAUAAUUUCAAAAGCAAACUGGAUUGUUUUCAUUCUCAUUUUGAAAAUGACCUGAAAUUUUGAGGAAAAAAAAUAAUAGAGAAUGCUUCUCCUUAAUUUGUUCAAAGAACUUCAAUGUAAAAAUAAAAAAUAGGGAGUUCCUGUCGUGGCACAGUGGAAACGAAUCUGAGUAGGAACCAUGAGGUUGUGGUUUCGAUCCCUGGCCUUGAUCAUUGGGUUAAGGAUCUGGUGUUGCUGUGGCUGUGGUGUAGGCCGGCAGCAACAGCUCUGAUUAGACCCCUAGCCUGGGAACCUCCAUAUGCCUCAGGUGCAACCCUAAAAAAGAAAGACAAAAAAUAAAAAAUCAGAACUCUUUCAUGCUUAACAGGUCAAAUGGUUUAUAGCAAAUAAUAUUGGAGGAAAUGCUUUUGGAGUCCGAAGUAAAUUAUUAAAGUAAUAAGGGAGCCAUUGUGAACAUGUUAAUUUUGUAUAACAGAUUAAUGUUUUUAUAGAGAAAUUGAGAUAGUCACAAAAAGUAAGCAUAGGUUUGCUCAAUUAAACUCUUUAAAAUAAGCUACAAGGAUAUAUUGUCCAUCACAGGGAAUUUAGCCAAUAUUUUACAAUAACUGCAAAUGGAGUAUAACCUUUAAAAAUUUGAAUCACUAUAUUGUACACCUUGUAAAUUAUAUAAUAUUAUAAGGAGCUAUACUUAAAUUUAAAAAACUUUAAAAAGCAAACCAUUUAAAAUGAAGGUAAUUGUGUCUAUGUGAAUGAAUCAUGUGCUCACUGUGAGAGUAGAGUCAGAGGUUUUUACAUAUAUUAAUUGAAUCUGAAAUAGCUAACUUGAAAACCCAUCUUCAUACCCUUACAAAUACUAUAAAUGAUUUGCACCGUGAUUCUACUCACCCAUUUACGUAUUAAUUACCCAUCCAACAAAUAUGUCUAGUAAUCCUUUUCUUCAGGCACCUUGUGGAGUGCUGGAGAAAGAAGAAUUAAUAAAAUACAACACUUGACUUGAGGAAUUCACGGUCCCUUGAGAAUGCUGGACAUGGAAGUCCCUAUAAAUCCUUUAUCCAUGCCUGAGGAGCUCACUCAACUUUGUUUCCAGAGAUGAACUUUAAGGUGGUUUGGUCCUAACAAAGUGAUACAUUUUGUUUUAAAAGUCAACGUGUACCCUACUUUUAAGUGGAUACCAGAGCUACUUCACCCAUGGUGUACAGGGGCAAAUUUCUCUGGGCAAGACCUAGGCAGGGGUCCUGAGCAAACCUUGAGGAUGGAGGGUUCACUGUUCUUCUGCCAAAUUUCAUGUGUACUUUGCCCUUCCAGAAGAGCAUGGCCCUAGAUAUAGGUAUUUAACACAAGUAAAGCAAUGAGUAGUUGCAGAAAAGGAAAAGAAACAAAAGAGAAGAAAAAAGGAGAGAACAGAGGAUUAACUGCAGAAAGAAUUCCAAAACGCUUCAAAAUACUUAAGAGGAAGAGAGCUUUGAGUGUGUAUACUGUAGACCCAAGAAGAGAAAUCUUUUUUUUUUUUCCUUUUCUUUUUUUGUCUUUUCUAGGGCUGCACCUGCGACAUAUGGAGGUUCCCAGACUAGGGGUCUAAUUGGAGCUGUAGCCGCCAGCCUACGCCACAGCCACAGCAAAGCGGGACCCAGCCACGUCUGCGACCUACACCACAGCUCACGGCAACGCUGGAUCCUUAACCCACUGAGCGAGGCCAGGGAUCGAACCCGCAACCUUAUGGUUCCUAGUCAGAUUCGUUAACCACUGAGCCACGACAGGAACUCCCAAGAAGACAAAUCUUGAGAAGAUGAAUUAUUAGGAGAAAAUUGAAGACCAACCAGUAAGUAAAGAAAGAAAGAAAGAGAAAGGAAGGAAGGAAGGAAGGAAGGAAGGAAGGAAGGAAGGAAGGAAGGAGGGAAGGAAGGAAGGAAAGAAGGAAAGAAAGAAAGAAAAGAAAGAAAGAAAGAAAGAAAGAAAGAAAGAAAGAAAGAAAGAAAGAAAGAAAGAAAGAAAG